rnacentral:lncRNA from 1 species
GCCAGUCCCGGCCGACCGGCCCUCCUUCCACGGCUGAGCGCCGGCCGGCUGGGACGCACACUCUGCGGCUCUGGCUCGCCGCUUUCCGUGCAUCCGAUGCCCACUAGUGUACCGGUGUUGAAGUGAAUCACAAGGAUUACGAUCGGGGCGUCCGCCCAGGGCUGAGCUCGCGGGUUCAGCUUUGCGCGGACCCUCGCGCCUGGUGACCUGAACUGUGUAGUCCGGGUGCGUCGGCGCGCCCGGUCCGCCUGCCGCGCAUGCCACGUCUCGUCCGCCCGCUCCCUUCCGCCGUGGUGUUUUCUCUCUUGCUUACGCCUUCUUACUAGGUGGUCGCGGCGUCGGUGCAUGCGUACCCAGCGGAAUGCCGGACCGGGUGCGGUUCGAGAAUGCUCUGCUGCGCAGCUCCUGUGCCGCCCCUGCGCGGGGUGCCGAGCCUUGCUGACCUAUUGCCGACGAAGACGAUAACCUGCAGCCUGUGCCCUGUCGCCUUUCACUCCACACCAGUCUUCACUCCCUCACACAAAUCAGAACUCUAUUAAGAUGAGCGCUGUAAUGCAGAAAUUAUAUUGUUCUUCACCUUCGCUAAUUGCUAAUAUUCAUCUGGGUGAAGAGAGCACUGACAUCGGGCAUAACACCGCGUAAUGUAAACGGCUUACUUCAUUUUCAACAAAGCUGACAGCGACAAUCAUUUUGCCUUCGACCAAUGGGGGACAGCUCCGCGAAACGUGUCAGCUCCCGGCCUUUCCUUCAUGUUAGCAGCAUAGCUUUCUGCGUUGCCGCUGUGUUCGCCGUGUUCACGCCCGCCGUGCUCACCGCCAGUUCACACGACGCUGUCAUUCUCCUCCUUCAACGGCUCAUAUUUCCUUACCUCGCCCAGCGAAUCAGUUUGGCCUGGUUUUAGUUGUGGAUGAUGUCUCAGUUGACGGUCUUGUUCCUUGAUUGUUUUGAACUGCACUGGCCUGGUGCAGCAAACUGUCGGUGGCUCUCUGUCCGGCUGGGUUAUUUGUUUUGCCCUUUUGUUUAGUCUUGUGUCGCAUUCGGGGCCGAUUGGCCUAUGCUGGCACAGCAGUGGUAAGCUGACACUCUGUUGACAUAUACUGACACGUGAUAACGGUAUUGUAGUCUUGUAAGCCCUGGUGUGAUAAACGUAUAUCAUCGGCGGCUUGUGACAAAAGGCGAGUAGGAAGCGGCUCAAGGUGCAAUAUAAGUCGAUCGCUUGUGUUCACGGUGUGUUGUGUGCCACCCUUACCCACAGGAAGAGAACAGCGGCCGUCGGUUGACACAAUCGGCGUCACGUCAGUGUCGGGCCGUGUGACUGCCGACAGCUAAGGGUGUCAGCUCGCAUUCGGGCUACAAGGGAGCAUGCGCUGCUGACCCCGCCGAAUUAUAUGAUGCGACUGUGAGAAGGGCGCGUUGCGUCAGGCCUCGCCAGGUGUGCGGGAUUUCCGUACGGAGUUUCGCCAGUCCUUGGAGAGGGGUGCGCAACGCUCUCUUCCGUUUCGUCUCCACUCAGCCAGGAUCACAAUUAGGCAGGUUAGUGUAGAUCACUCUGCUUUGGGACCAUAUUCUUCCGGGUUUGACCGCCGAGAAAAGGCUUCAGGUUAUGAUGAAGUCGACGUCCUUCAAAGCAAAUACCUAUUCGAACAAUUUUGAGUUUUUUGUAACCGUUGCCAUUUAUUAAUGCGUCACUUGCGAUGCGUCCGAAUAAGUCAAGUUUUCUCAUUUUAAGCAAUACAACUCAGUAUUGACUAAGCCUGAGGUAAAUCGAAGAUAAAAAGACGUUUUCACGCAUUUUGCUCCAGUUGACAUCGGAAACGUUCGCCACGUAUCACAAUUCUUACAGGUGCGUAUGUUAGAGGUGAUUGCUUAAACAUGCAAUCUGUUGGGUCCGUAACGCUAAUGAGAAAGAUUAUCGAAUGUAUGCAUUCAAGCUAUGCACCAGGCAUCAUACACAUAUAAUUCUAAGGCUAACAAUGUGAAUUGGGAUAACAACUUUUUCAGAACACGCUCGAAUGAAGCACUAAGUUGCAUCAUGCCACUUCUGCUUACCAUAAACCGCGAUCGGGGACUGGGGCCUGGAUUCGAGCUGGGCUGCUGCUGGCUGGUGGGCCAACACAUGGUGACGACUGAAAUAUUGCACAGCAGCCCAAACUUGAAGGUGACCUGACGAGUAGCGCUUAGCAGUAAAUGAUGUGCUUUAAUAACACUUCGGAAGUCAUAUCGACUACUAACAACAUAAUGUGGCAAGCACUUUGACCACAACGGUCUGUCUACCAGAUAAUCUAUAAGCAUGGGUAUUUGGUUUGUACAGGAAAAUCGUGGAGAAAAUGAGCGAAUUGGCCACAGUGGGCAUGUUGUUUUAUUUCUGUUUUGUGUUUUACUUUUUUAGGUCGCUCCAAAACAAGUGGUCAGGAUUCCUACUCUUACUCUCCCAACGAUGAAAAAACUACCUUUCACGGUAGAGAAAAUGCAAAAAGUGGGGACGCUCUCUAGGAGUACACGUAACAGCUUGACAUGCAGAGCUUGGUCAGUGGUACAUAUGAGUUCGUUACUCGAAAAAAAAACAGGGAAAAGCAAGUGAUCGCUGAAGCCAGCAAUCAUCAGGCUCUUAGUCCCCUCCAAACCCUGACGGUUAUUGCUACCAACUGUCAUUCAUUGGGUUUUCUUUUCUACCACUGUUUUAAUAACACGCUCGGCCCUCCAUUAAUAUCUAGCUCUUGCUCUUGCCCUCUUCGCCAAGUUCAUUCCUGCCCUUUGUGACUACUGAUACGAGAGAUGGCACAGCUGCGAAUGGAAAUCACCGCCUUAUGAUAUCUUCAAAGUACGUAUAAUGCAUUACCUUAAAAAGCGCAUACAAACGUUAGUAGACCUGGGAUCUGAAUCAACUGCGUUCCGACGGUUUUGGAAAGAUGUAACUAAAUCUACGAUGUGAAAUUUGCAAAGACUGAGUGCCUGUCAGCGACGUUGUUCCAUUUGUUGGUUUCCCGAACCGUAAACUUACUCAGCGUCGUAUGCCAGACAUUUUGUCAACACUAUUUGUCAGUUUCGCCAGUCGAGCGAGUAAAAAUAGAACAUCGAUGGAUAGCGGCGGCGCUCGGGGCAGUGGGCACGACAGGAGAGGGGGGGGGGGGCAGCAGGACCAGUUCGCGGACCCAGACUGAGUCACCGCACGAGGAGGACGGCAGCGCUAUGGGCGCCGUCCGAAGCUGCCGUGGUCUAGCUGCGGAGGCGGAGCCGACAGCGGGGGCUGCAGCGCGCCCGGACACCUUGGCUGGGAUCCAGCCAGGGUCCGACCCGGGGCGCCCAAGCCGGUCCGGGUCGGAUCCGGAACCAGACACACCGUCGUCUGGAGUCAGCCGACGCUGAUGACUGCAAUCCCGGAGAGCUCGCAGCGCUGCCAACGGUCGACUUCAGUUCGUCACACGCAGUGGUGCGGACACCAUGCCCGACGCCAUCGCUACCGCCCGUCAGCAGAGGUGGCCGGGGCGGCGCUGUUACCGUUCGCAGUAAGCUGCUGGAGUGUACCCUCGACUGGCUGCCUGCCCGCUCAUCGAGAGAAUACCCGCCACACCACAGUAGGCUGCCCGCCCGCGCCUCGAGGGAACACGCGCUGCGCCGCAGCAGCUCACCAGCUGGCGGGGGUAGAGCGGAGCCGACCAAGCCGACUCAUGAGAUGAACCAUGAGCUGACACGAGCAACAGACCCUCCUCUGUUGGACCUGUAGCAAAACGUACGUGUAGCACGUCAAACAGCGCACGCAGAACAUUGGCCUCGCAUACCUCGCAUAUUGCGCUCUCGUGUAUCGGUUUUAUGGGUACCGACAUUUUGUUCAGAGGCCUUGAAAGGGCUGUUAAAGGAGUAAGUUAACAAACAAAAAAACUGUGUUUUGCUCUGUGUGUGCUUUCAUUCCCUUGUUAUGGAGCAUUUUUGUUUGUUUAAAUUUGUGGUAGAGGAACUGACACCGUUGGGAUUAAUUGCAAAUCGUGUUUUCUGAUACGGCGCAGAACGACCUUCUGGGUACAUCAACACAGCGAUACUCACACAUUUAGAACCGUGUAAAAACAUACGCAUCUGUGCCGCUAAACAUUCGUUAAGUCAAUAUUUGUAUGUGGUAGGAGGAUUUAUUUAGGUCUCCUAUAUUACCUUGUGUGCUUGCAAUUGCAUUUCCAUGUUAUUAUCUUAUCUGGACCCAUGUGGAGCACCGCUGUGACUAGGAAUGGCAGUGAGGUUGGUAGAUCCAUGGCGAGUUAAAAGUAGAAUUCACCGCAAUACCAUGCUUUGUCUGAUCCCACAGCAUUGCCACGAAAUAAUCAGCAAGCGUUUCAGUACGGCCAGAUGUUCUGUGUUUUUGUUUCUCGUAGAUGAAGCUAAUAAUGUAUGACACCUUUCUGUUAAGCAUAAAAGGUUUCAGAUGCUCAUAAAAGCAACAACAGAGCUAGCCAGACAUGUUUGGUCUCAUUUAUGUACAUGUGCUGUGGGCUGAGUGGAGUCAAAUAUAAAUGCUUGCAUGACUGCUGUAGGUUGUUUCGGGACUGCGUUAUUGUCUGCCACAUCAUCGUUAAUCCACGUCCAUUCUGCUAAUAGCCAUCGGCUACUGAAAUCCGUUGGCCAUUUAGA